GUCUUCCAAGUCGAAACGUUUGAUGUUUCUGGUUAGAACAUUUGUGUUGUUAGUUAUGAAAUACUCGGUGGUGUUUAAAGCAGUACAUAUUUCAUCAAAGUCCAAUUACAUUGCUGAUGCAAUUUCUCGUAAACAGUUUCACAGGUUACAACAGUUAGCACCAGAGGCACAAGCGAGUCCAGAAUCAGUCCCGCCGGAGUUUUUACUGAUGAUCUGCAACAAGAGGCUAAUAGAUUGCUAGACAAUUCCCUUGCUGCUAAUACAAAAAAGGCAUACAUCGUUGGGUUAGAGAGAUUCUCUGAGUUUAAAAGGCAAUACGGCUUGUCAGAUGCCUGGCCGCCUACAGUUGAACAGGUGGUUCGAUUUGUAGCAUGGCUAUCCCUACAGAAACUAUCCCACAAAACAGCAAAAUCAUACUUAAGCUCUAUAGCUUUUCAUUGCAAGCUGCUUGAUGUUGUUGACCCUACCAAAAAGUUCAUUGUUUCAAAAAUGGUUGAAGGAAUGCAAAAAGAUAAGAAAACACACGAUAAUAGGCUUCCAAUUACCCUCUCGUUACUGCAAGGGAUAGUAAGCAAACUUAAUAUUGUGUGUUCCAGUGUCUACGAAGCAAAACUGUUCACUGCAGCUUUUAUGCUAGCGUUUUUCGGUUUUCUAAGAGUUGGCGAAAUAGCUGUUCCUAAAAAAGGUGAUAGUAUUUUACAGGCAGCGGUGUUGGCAAUAGAAGAUUUACAAUUUGAUCACAAUGGGGUAAUCAUUUCAAUCCGGCAUUCAAAAACUGAUCAGUUGGGCAAAGGGGUAGCGCUCAAAAUUACUAGGUCAAACAGUGAAUUUUGCCCAGUUGUGUGUCUUAACCAGUAUCUUCAUGUUCGUCCUCAAGGGCCUGGUCCCUUGUUUUUGCACUUUAACAAACAACCAAUUACUCGUUACCAAUUUUCUGCUAUUCUUAAGAAAACGGUUUCUCUUUUGGGUCUAAAUUAUGGGUCUUACAAAUCCCACUCCUUCAGAAUUGGAGCAGCAACUGCAGCUUCCCAACUAGGCUAUUCAGUGGAGAUCAUUAAACAGGCAGGCAGAUGGGCUUCCAAUGCCUACCAAUCAUAUGUUUGUCCUGUUCCUGUUGUCAUGCCCAGCCUAAUAAAUAACCCCCAUUAAAAAGGUAUGGUUCAUAUAGUUAGAUUCACGUGACUAACAAAAACCAAGUUGUAUUAAGGAAAACCAUCUGGAUACUGGGUUCAUCAAUAAUCAAGCAAGCCUUCAUAGCAGCAAGAUUACGACCUGAAGGGGCCAACCUCUGCCUUGAACCCAACAUCAUCUGGUGGCAAGGGUACAGUGGGUUAACACUUGCAGAAUCAAAGAAAAAAAUUCUUUCGCUUGCCAAUGUGGGUAAUUCUCCAGACUAUAUUGUGUUACAUUUAGGUGGUAAUGAUCUUGGUCGUCGGUCACUGGUGGACCUUCGAAAAUUGAUUGUCGAGCUAUUCAGGACUAUACUGUCUAUAUUUCCAAGUGUUAAGAUUGUAUGGUCUGCAGUGCUUCCAAGGUCAAAUUGGAGAUAUUCUGAUAAUAAAGUUGCUAUGGACAAAGCAAGAAAGCGCCUUAAUAGUCAUGGUUCAUCUAGGGCUUUGGCAUGUGGAGGGCAUUACUUGGCCAACUCUGACUUUGGAAAAUUUGAGGAACAUUUGUUUGAGAAGGACGGAGUCCACUUGUCAACUCUGGGUACAGAUAUUUUUCUUUCUAAUAUGUCUGCAGGGCUUGAAAAACUUAUAAAGCAUAAUACACCAAUCCAUUACUGAAGUUCUAGAUGCACAAAUUUGGGGGUUCUUACAAUUUUAAAUCCCAAACAUUAUGUAUGUUGGUGUUGCUAUUGAGUCCAAAAAUAGAUAUUUGCAGUUAGUUUGUAUGCAUAUUUUUCUUACUCAUAUGUAUGAAAAAAGAAAAAAGAAAGUUUUUUGCUGCUAAUUUUUAUGCAAUUUUUUGCUGCUAGUUUUUAUGCAUUUUUUUUUUCUGCUGGGUUUUAUGCAUUUUUGCUGCUAGUUUUUAUUCAUAUCUUUGCCUUGUGUUUACAGUUUACUGCUUCCGACUCCAAGCAUGCGUCCAUCCGCCCUGCAGCCAAAGUUCUUUGGCAGUGGCCACCCGUCAUCUCUGGCCCAGCUGGUUUCGAGGUUGGGGCAUUUGGGCCGCUGGGUCAGCGUUGUUGGGUGGCCAUAUGGCAAUCAGUGCCGGAUGGACGCUUUUUACCUGGCACAUUUUUUGGGGAAAAUAUAUAUGAUUUUGUUGGGAGUGCUGAUGGCCGUCACCCGGAGUCAGCACUCAUAUACAAUUUAUUUGUGCAGUUAGUUAUUUGCAGUUAGUUUGGGCUUGCCAUGUUCGCAGGUGGCCCUUGCUGCUUGGAGUCGAGACAUUAUAUGCCAGAACCAUUUUUUAUGUUUUUAUGUUAUAAGGUCCUUUAAUAAAAAGUAAAAAUUUA